rnacentral:misc_RNA from 1 species
GAUGAAGAACGUAGCGAAAUGCGAUAAGUAAUGUGAAUUGCAGAAUUCAGUGAAUCAUCGAAUCUUUGAACGCACCUUGCGCCCUUUGGCCAUUCCGAAGGGCAUGCCUGUUUGAGUAUCAUGAACACCUCAACUCUUCAUGGUUUUCCGUGAUGAGCUUGGACUUUGGGGGUCUUGCUGGCCUAUGGUCAGCUCCUCUAAAAUAAAUCAGCUUGCCAGUGUUUGGUGGGUAUCACAGGUGUGAUAACUAUCUACGCUUGUGGUUUUCCACCAGGUAACCUUCAGCAGUGGAGGUUCGCUGGAGCUCACAGAUGUGUCUCUCCUCAGUGAGGACAGCUCUUUGAAUGUUUGAUCUCAAAUCAGGUAGGACUACCCGCUGAACUUAAGCAUAUCAAUAAGCGGAGG